GUUAAGACCCACAUGCAGAAUAUGAGCUUCAUCUGACCCUCCCUGUUUUUGGCUCUUCUGACAAACCCAGGCAAACAACCUAUGUUGCUUUUCCCUAAGCACAUCAGGAAGUGAGCCUUGAGUACAUCAUCUCAGCUCCAUCAGCUGCAAAAUGAAUGGAGAGCACAGACCCGGGAAGAAUACAUUUGUGAGCCGGUGCCCAGAAGCUCCUACUGUUAGUUGUUUAAAAAGAAAGAAACAGAAGCCCCUCCACCAAAACAACAAAGCCAAAGAGUAAGCUACAGAGCACACAGCCUCAUUUCUACAGCGUUAUCAUCAAUAAAACCCAUGGAGAUUGCA
rnacentral:lncRNA from 1 species